rnacentral:rRNA from 1 species
UACGGCGUCACCUAGAGAUGGAUCCGCGGUGCAUUAGUUAGUUGGUGGGGUAAAGGCUUACCAAGACGAUGAUGCAUAGCCGAGUUGAGAGACUGAUCGGCCACAUUGGGACUGAGACACGGCCCAAACUCCUACGGGAGGCUGCAGUAGGGAAUCUUCCACAAUGGGCGCAAGCCUGAUGGAGCAACGCCGCGUGUGUGAUGAAGGCUUUCGGGUCGUAAAGCACUGUUGUAUGGGAAGAAAUGCUAAAAUAGGGAAUGAUUUUAGUUUGACGGUACCAUACCAGAAAGGGACGGCUAAAUACGUGCCAGCAGCCGCGGUAAUACGUAUGUCCCGAGCGUUAUCCGGAUUUAUUGGGCGUAAAGCGAGCGCAGACGGUUGAUUAAGUCUGAUGUGAAAGCCCGGAGCUCAACUCCGGAAUGGCAUUGGAAACUGGUUAACUUGAGUGUUGUAGAGGUAAGUGGAACUCCAUGUGUAGCGGUGGAAUGCGUAGAUAUAUGGAAGAACACCAGUGGCGAAGGCGGCUUACUGGACAACAACUGACGUUGAGGCUCGAAAGUGUGGGUAGCAAACAGGAUUAGAUACCCUGGUAGUCCACACCGUAAACGAUGAAUACUAGGUGUUAGGAGGUUUCCGCCUCUUAGUGCCGAAGCUAACGCAUUAAGUAUUCCGCCUGGGGAGUACGACCGCAAGGUUGAAACUCAAAGGAAUUGACGGGGACCCGCACAAGCGGUGGAGCCUGUGGUUUAAUUCGAAGCAACGCNGAAGAACCUUACCAGGUCUGACAUUCCCUUUGAAGCUUUUAGAGAUAGAAGU